GACACACCGGACGCCCCCUCUCAGUUCUCGCCUCGUCACCUACCUUCCCUUAUCCCUUCACUGUCUCCCCACUGCUCCUUAUUCCAUGGUGGCCACAAGCCCACAACUCUCUCACUCUCUCCUCAAGCCGCCCCUCCUGUUCGUCCCCACCGCCGGCGCGAGGUCUCGCACUCUUCCCACUCUUCUCAGCCCCUCCUCUUCGAAUCGGUCGCCGAAGUGCCCGAGGAUCCGCUCGAGCUCGGUAUGGUCGCUGGGCGCCGGACGAAGGCCGACGCGGAGGCGCGGGACUUGCCUCCACCAGAUCGGCGGCUGUGGCAAUCAUGUGUCGCAACCUCCGCGGCUGGUGCCUUCCUUUCCAUCUCGCUCGUCGGCGGCUCCCACCACCCUGUGCGUGCGACUGCGCUGCGCCGUGCAAUGCCCAUGUGCGGCAGCAGUGCCGCGGUGACUGGUCCCCUGCAAGUGCAAGCCGGUGCCAGUAGACGAUCUAUUCCCCACUUCGGCUUUCAUAUAUGCUUAUUUCUGAUUUGAGAUACUCGCCAUUACCCACUUCUGCUAAUCCUUAAUUUCUACCCAUUCCUGAAUAUACAUAGGUAGCUCAGUAGUCUAGUUUAAGCAUGAGAGUCAUUUUAGAAUUAGGGAGAAAAAUUAGAAGUUGUUCGAUUAGACGUUCUUAACUUGGUUGCAGCAACUGUUAUGAGUGGGGAUUUUAGUUAGUUAAUAUUAUUGAGGCAACCAUGCUGCAAUAAAGUUGAUUAAUAGGUAGAUUUGAAAUCUGGGUGGCUAGGGGCGCUAGGGACCAAGACGGAUGAGGUUGAUUUGGCUUCAUCCUGCCAAAGAAAGUUACUUCUUUUUUGAAAAGUGAAAGCAUGUUUUUAGAAGUUCCCAAAUGCGAGCUUUAUAGCAAAUAAAAGAGGAUCAAGAGAAGCAUAGUAGGAUAAGUAUGUAUGACUCUAGGAUAAUACAGGUUGAAGAGUGAAUAAUUGAUAAUGUAGGAUAAUGAUGAUGCUAUGGCUGUCAUAUAGAGGGCGAUGGUUGGCUAAAAGAGCUUAUAACCUCAAAAAUUCCUUUUCUUGGAAUAACUUCCUUUAUUAGAAGUCCAUAAACAUCUCUGGCAUCUUCAGUACUACUUACGGCAGCUACACAAGUGAUAUUCAUGAUGUAGCACAACCUUUUAGAUAUAUUUCUUGUUGUCCCCGACCCCUGGUUACAUCAGAAGUGUGUUUGCAGGCUUACAAGAAAUGGAUAUUGAAGACCAUCUAAGAGUCAGGGAAUUUGUUCGAUCCUAAAUUUUUGGAACUCUGAACACAAAGAUGGGAAUGGGGAGGCAUACCUGCCUGCCAUAUACAUCAACCCGAAGCUUUUGAGCGUUGUACAGAACAAGUAAUUGACAGAUUUGAUAAUAGAAGAUGACCAAAUUUGUGUACAGGAAAAUGCAUAUUCUUGGACUGGGUUUUCUUCUCCACUCUAUUGGACCAAGUUACAAAUAGAUCAUACUGACUGGGUUUUAUUCAUCCAGUCAUACCAAUUCAAGCACUAUACUGUUAAAACAAUAUGAUGGAGGGCUCCAGUUUGAUGCAAUGUUAAAAUUCAUGUUGAAGUCAUAGGAAAUAGAUCUAUUAUGGUUUGUACAAAAUUGAUGCAUUCAUCAUCACACUGUUGUAAAUAUGCAAAUUUGAGAGUGAAGAGCAUUGUUAUAAAGAUGCAACUUUGAUAGGGAUUAGGGAAGUAAUGAAUUAUGCACAUUAUGUUAAAUAGAAUUUCCUAUAAAAUCAGGAACUGAUCGGCCCCAUCACAUUAACCCAAUUGAAUAUCCUGUAAAAUCAUACCAUGUUCCUUUGGUGCAGGCAGGUGCGUUGCCUGAGGAGUUUGUCGGCGCUGAUGUCGGCGACUGUGGAAGGCGACGAUGGCCAACAGUGGCUGGGUGGCGAGGGCACAACAGUGGCUUGGCAGCACCGAUGUCUGACUGUAGUGUGCGUCUAAACGGCGACAUCAAAGAAGACAUCGAGAUUAACUGGGAUGGAACUGGCCACGUAUUGCGCGCAAGAGGAUAGUCUGCACCUGCAUUGGCCAGAAGCGCUUCGUCGCGGGCGUCGUCCGCUAUGCAUGGCGGCGAUGGCGUAGGAGAGGCUGGGCGGCUGCGACGUACGUCCAGGUUGGCAAAGGCAGGUAGAUCGAGCUGAUUCCCAUAAGUUUAGCCAUUUAUUGUGAGGCGGACGUGUUUAUUCCCGUUAAUUAUGGCAAAUUUUCUGUAGUUGAUUGGAACUGUCUGUUGUUUUUUUGCGGGGUAGGUGGAACUGUUCGAUCGAUGGCAGAGUUUUGUCCGUUAAUGUAAAUCGCUAAACGUACACAGGGGAGGUCUGACUUUUAUGUGGACGGUUAGAUGCCUGAUCCUGGGGUGGUAAUUUGUCUUGUGUGGCCUGUGUACGUUUAACCGGGUGGGCAUAGUGAAGAAUAUGUUUACUUGUUUAA